rnacentral:lncRNA from 1 species
GGUGCUAAUUCCUGUAAAUACCAUCUAAUUUUAUUUUAAGUUAUAUCUGUCAUUUUCUUAUCCGCCGAAAAGGAAAGGGACGGGUAAUCGACAAGCAUAAAUUUUAUGAAACAUACGUCAAUUUUAAACACAAAUCUAAAACAACCGUCUAAAAAUUUUACAUUGGCCAAUAACCCGACAGCAUUAAGUUGACAGCACACGUCAAACGGUUUGCAUACACCGAGAUACGUUUUAAUUCGCCCGGGUUAUUCAUUCAUUUACUCAUUCUUCCUAAAAUUAAGAGCUGUCAAUCAUCCGUCCCUUUCCUUUUCGGCGGGUAAGAAAAUGACAGGUAUAACUUAAAGUAAAAUUAGGAGGUGUCUGCAGGAAUCGGGGCCAUUGAUGCAAGUCCGGACCGGGGUUCGCACUGGCGCUCCCCGUAUGAGAAGCAAGCCGGUAUACCACAGGACCACAGUGACAAUUUUUUUUUUGUUUAAUAAUAUAAGCUCGCGUUUGGCCUCAAUCUGAUGGUAAGUGACGAUGUGGUCUAGGAUCACGCUUACCUAACAAAUGCCUAUUCACUCUAACCUUGAAGACUCCCAGAUUACAACGAGUCGGUUAAUCAGUUGACGGCAGUCGGCAUUUCUUUCAAACUGUCUGAUUUCGGAUGUUUAAACUGUUUUGAUUUUGGAACGAAUUUAAAUUAUGACUAUUUAGACCAACAUUGAAAAUCGCGUAUUUUCGAUACUUGUCAGUUAUUAGCAGGUACACAGAACAUAGAAUUAUGCUAAGUAUCGUCAGAUUUCAAUCACUUGUAGUUAAUUAAAAAUAUCUUUAAAUUUUCCGAAAUUAGAACCAAAUAAGUGAGGUGCCUUACUAUGUAUUAAAAAAAAAAAACGACUUUUGUUCAAAAAUACAUUUUAAUUUCACAUUAUAAUAGAAAAGUAUCUAAUUAAGGGAAUAGUCACAAAUAUCUUUGAUAUGAUUUUAGUUAGAAUAAUAGAAUAAAGACCUUUUCAUAUGCAUUUAUAUUUUUUACUUUACAGUCGUAGACAAUUUUUCUUUGUUUUAAUCUACAUCAAAGAAGUUAUCUGUAGUUUUAAAUGUAUAAAAUAUAUAUAUAUGUAUACUUUUGUCGAAACAUGUAUAUUAAACUUUUAUAAAAAGAUGAAAAUUAUGUCUUAUCAUGUCGAUAAACGUCUAACCCUAAAGAGCUUAUUACACUACCCAAGCCACGAUCUUUGGCGGGGUAACAAUUUCGCUAUUUUUAUAUCUUUGCAUCGGCCCCGAUGGAUUGUCCAUGCAAUAUUGAUUGUGUCGUGAGAAAGCUCACGUACGAGGGAUCAAUCUUUGUAUUGAAGGACUUUCCAAUCGGCGUUCCCCAAAAACACGAUAGAUGGAGUUGUUAAGUAUUUUCUUGGUUUAAACUUCUAAUUUCAUGGAUAACAGACAUAUUAUGCAUCUUUUAUCUUUGUUUUUGGGUAUAAAUUAUGACCCUUUUUAUUACACCAAGGUACAAUUACAACUUCCACCCAUUAUUAUUCUGAUCAAAAUAAUGAGCAGCAUUAUAGGUAGUGACAUCAUUCUAACAUAACAUAACAUAACAAAUACUUUAUUGCACAAACAGGAAAAAACAAAAUACAAAACAAAAGAGAAAUAGAAUCACAUACACACACACAUAAUGUGAUCCAAAUAUCAAACAACAAUUUGUUUUUUAUAAUGCUACUACCAUUAUAUUACAUUUUUAAACAAUUUUGUAUCCCAGCAAUGAGAAAAUAGGUAAUUAUCACGUUAAAAGUGAACAACGCCAUCUAUCGUGUGUUUGGGGAACGUCGAUUGGAAAUUUCCUCAUUGACGAGUAGUGUUCAAUUACAACACUCAGCAGGCUAUGCACGGCAAAGGCGUAGCGCGCGGUGCGAAUUAUAUCGAGGGUUUGCACCAAUAGACGCAGCGUAAGCUGUCUACGUGGAUAAAUGUCGUAUGGCUAUUGGUCAAAGCUCGAUUAUAAAUCACGCCGCGUGCAGCUCGUAUGCCGUGCCGCAAGGACUGACGUCACUAAAAAUAUUUUAAUUUUACAUUUAAAACUGCAGUUCAUUUUAGUUAAUUAUUCCAACCUACAAUUCUUUUUGAAAGAUAACUUUCUUGGAGUUUCAAAGUUUAGCGGAAAACAAUUUUGGUAUUUUGAUACUUCAACAAAUUUAUCGCAAACAUUAUGUUGAUAGAUCUACGAACACCAGUGGUUAAUCUCAUUAGCACUUACGCAAUAUAGCCUUUAGUCUUUUGGAAAUAUCCAGUUAUAACUGCCUACUUAUUGUACUUAUGUAAGUUCCGACUGGAUAUUUGCAAACAGCAGGCCUAGCACACUACGUUAAACGCGACGCGGAAUAAAAUAAUGACCUGCAUACAAGCGAAUACUUACAGAAGAGCCAAGAAAUAAAAAAAAAUAUUCAUUGUUUUAAGUUUAUGCGGUUAUUACCAUAAUUAACACACAUAAUAACGGGUUCUUACCGCGUUUAAAAUAGGGAUAUGAGACUCCCGAUAUUUCGACACUGUUGCAAGUGCCACUGUUGCAUGUCUCAUCAGUCAUCCCGUCUCAUAUCCCUAUUUUAAACGCGGUAAGAACCCGUUAUUAUGUGUUUUAAAAAUGUAUUCAAUAAUAAAUUAAAACACCUAUGUCAAAAUAUUUUUAUUCAUUUUCAGAAUUUAUUGUGACUCCGCUAGUCGCUUGCUAUACGCAGUAUUAUUAUUCCUUGUUAUAGAAUAAGGAAUAAUAAUACUACGUAUAGAACGACAAAUCUCCGCUCCCCACCAGCGUCUGAGCUAGGAUUACCUCACCCCCUCCCCUACCCUCCUCUAACAUAGUUUAGACUUAAAUCGUAUGGCGUCAGACGACACAUUCAGAUGCGUGUGUACGUUAACGUCAAUGUGUGGUGUCUGUGUAAAACGAGGUUGUUUGUAUGAAGUGUCCGGGGUGUAGUAGUGUGCUAGGCCUACUGUUCGCAAAUAUCUAGUCAGAAAACGUAAGUAGGCGGUUCUAACUGGAUAUUUGCAAAAGACAAAACACUCUAGGAUAUUUUUCCGUUUUACUACCGGUGUGCGAAGAACUACCGAUUUACUCUUAUACUAUUUUGUAUUCCAAAUACAAUUCUGAAUGUUAUUAAGACAUAGCUAGGUAUCCUAAUUUUCCGUAAUUCCUAGAAUAUAGUUUUUAUUAAUAUUUGUCAUUAGUUAAUAAGUUCGUUUCAAUUGUCAAGCCUCUCGAUUGAUAUUGUAAUUCUUACGAAAUAAAUAAACGAAAUAAAACUUUA